UACGAAGGGGGCUAGCGUUGCUCGGAAUUACUGGGCGUAAAGCGCACGUAGGCGGCUUGUUAAGUCAGGGUGAAAUCCUGGAGCUCAACUCCAGAACUGCCUUUGAUACUGGCGAGCUUGAGUUCGGGAGAGGUGAGUGGAACUGCGAGUGUAGAGGUGAAAUUCGUAGAUAUUCGCAAGAACACCAGUGGCGAAGGCGGCUCACUGGCCCGAUACUGACGCUGAGGUGCGAAAGCGUGGGGAGCAAACAGGG
rnacentral:rRNA from 1 species